rnacentral:lncRNA from 1 species
AACAACCUUCUAAAUGGAGAACUUAAAUGUCGUUUCGCCUGAACCUAUAUUUCAUGAGGGAGUCGAAAUAUUUGGAGUUGUGGUCACCUUCUUUUAGUCAUUUGCUUUUGUAUUUUUGUUUGAGGAUAACUUCUCGGAACCAAAGAUUCUACCAGAUAAGGGAUUGGGCUUCAAACCUUUGCUCAAUAAUAACAUGACUAAUAAGAUCUACUUCCACUGAAAUAAUAUGGUUCAGCCUAUUUAAUUCAUCGAUGGCCUUCUCUAAAUCUAAAUUCACAAUACCAAAUACCUUUAUGUUCCAAACUUUUGAUUCAACUUUCAACAGUUUGAGCUUUUCUUUAAAGAUAUACAUUUUCUUCCCAUUUACUUGGAUAUAUUUCCAAGAGUUUUCUACCAUCUGAAGAAAGUAGGGAUGAUCAAGCCAUGAAGAAAAGAAUUUGAAUGAAGUAGGCCUUCAAUUAUAUUUGUUUGAUUUGAUUGAAAUGUGAUAGUGGUCUGAAAUAAAUCGAUCACCCACAAAUUUCCCCUUAAGCCCCCAUUUGUUUAUCAGAACAUCUGAAACUAAAAAUCGAUCUAACCUACUCAUGGAAGAUCCUAAAGAAUUGAUCCAAGUGAAUUUAUUAUCAAUAGCGGGAAGAUUGACUAAAUCCAAGUCAUGAAUAAAACUGCCAAGUUAAGCCAUUUAUGAUGAAUUAAGAAAUCUACUACUUCCUUUUAUUUUACCAUUAGACUUGGUCGAAUUGAAGUCGCCUCCCAAAAUCUAGACACCAACUAGAAAUGAACCUUUUAAAUUAAGAAAAUCCAGCCACAACUUCCCUUUUCCCUUAUAUGAAAAGAAGAGAAAAUGAUGACAAUAUAAAUCAAGAAAUAUAAAUCAAGAGGGAAUUCCAUUUGAAUUGAAUUUAGAUAUAACCCUUCUCUGCAAAACUGAACAAGACUUCGAUUGCCCUGUUUACUUUUUUGCAGACCAAGACACUUCAUGUUUCCCCAAAAGGAAUGAAGCUGAGAAACAGUCAUAACUUUCUGUUUGGUUUCAUAAAUUAAACAGAAAUAAACUCCACUUGAAGAAAUUAAAUUAAUAACAACUUUCCUCUUAGUUGAAUUUCCAUAGCCUCUAACAUUAAGGUAUAUAACAUUCCUUUUAAACCCUUAGAAUUUGCAUCCUUCUCUCUGAACUUCACUUUGUCUUUAAUCUCUAGCCGCCUAAUUCUUCAAUAUAAACCUCAUAAACAUCAUUGCCCCUAAUUCCGAGAUCAACAACUCGAAUCCAUAUUUUUGAAGCAACUAAGGAAUCCUCCUUUGUCCGAAAUCUAUUAUUUCCUUGCAUAACGUCUCCAUAUCAAAUAGAGUCACAACAUAACACAAAAUCACUAGAGUGUUUAGAGGAAGAAUCCGACGAAGGAGGUUGAUCUAGUUUAGAGCAUGAGGUUGAAGAAAUAUUUAGAGAUUUUCGGUUUCGCUGCGGGAUGAGGGAUGGGAAGUAUGAAAGUUCAACAAAGGAUUUGGUAAAAGGGGGAUGAAAGAAUUUUUUAUUAAAUAGAAG